AACGAACGCUGGCGGCAUGCCUAACACAUGCAAGUCGAACGAGACCUUCGGGUCUAGUGGCGCACGGGUGGGUAACGCGUGGGAACCUGCCUUUAGGUUCGGAAUAACUCAGAGAAAUUUGAGCUAAUACCGGAUGAUGUCUUCGGACCAAAGAUUUAUCGCCUUUAGAUGGGCCCGCGUUGGAUUAGCUAGUUGGUGGGGUAAAGGCCUACCAAGGCGACGAUCCAUAGCUGGUCUGAGAGGAUGAUCAGCCACACUGGGACUGAGACACGGCCCAGACUCCUACGGGAGGCAGCAGUGGGGAAUAUUGGACAAUGGGCGAAAGCCUGAUCCAGCAAUGCCGCGUGAGUGAUGAAGGCCUUAGGGUUGUAAAGCUCUUUUACCCGAGAUGAUAAUGACAGUAUCGGGAGAAUAAGCUCCGGCUAACUCCGUG
rnacentral:rRNA from 1 species